UACGUAGGGUGCGAGCGUUGUCCGGAAUUACUGGGCGUAAAGAGCUCGUAGGUGGUUUGUCGCGUCGUCUGUGAAAUCCCGGGGCUUAACUCCGGGCGUGCAGGCGAUACGGGCAUAACUUGAGUGCUGUAGGGGAGACUGGAAUUCCUGGUGUAGCGGUGAAAUGCGCAGAUAUCAGGAGGAACACCAAUGGCGAAGGCAGGUCUCUGGGCAGUAACUGACGCUGAGGAGCGAAAGCAUGGGUAGCGAACAGG
rnacentral:rRNA from 1 species